AUAUGAUUCUAAUGGCAAUUAUCCAAGACUUCAAACAAAAAUUACAUUAUGUAAGUCUAAAAUAUAUAAUACUCCUAUGAUAAAUUAGUGAACAAGUUGAACGUCUUCCGUUAGCUCAUCCAUCUCUUCUUUAUUAGAGUUGAAGAAUUUUAAUUUUGACAGAAUAUAUCUACUAAAAUGGAAAAAGUUAACAUCGUAGUAAAAAUAAAAAAAUUAAGCCUAAGAACUAAAAAAAGAAGCCUAGUAACAAACAAGUAACAACAACUGCAAACAUUACCUUACCCUUACUUAUAAGCCAAGAGUUGGACGAACACUGCAUCUAUAACCUGUACUCAAAGCCUUAUAAAUUAUACUGUAUACUUGGCCCAUCUUUAAACACGUGUCUUAUUGCAGCACUUUAAUUUUUCUCUCUUUUAACGCGUGUUCACCUUUUCCAUAUGUAUACGACAGAUAUCUGAAUUUCACUUUCUUAUUAUCCUUUCUUCUCCUUCUUCUUUGUUUUCCAGUGUCAUUUUUGGACUGUAGAAAUUAAAUUUCUCUGAUUUUCUCUCUUAUACUUAUAUCUUUAUGCUAAUCUGAUACUGUGUGUUUUAAUUUAAUCUUAUUCUUUAAUCCCGUGUUUUAAAUUAUUGAUUCUCAAUAUUUUACUUAUAAAUUAUUUCUCUGUUUCUUUAUGUAUUCAGCAAAUUGACUAAAUUGACUUCAUCUAUAAUCUUUUUUAAAUCCAGCAUAUUAGGCAAGAAUUUUGCAUUUUAUAACAUUUUUAUCUAUUUCGCUUUUAUUAUUUCUGAAAGACAUAAAGGUAAAGUUAAGGUACAAGUGGAGUGUGAUCAACAAGGAUAAUUCCCCAUAUUGAUAUGGUUUGCUUAUGUCAAUAGAUCGUUGAAGUCGAGAAGUUGUCAGGGGCCAAAACUGGCUUCAUGCAUUAUUGAAUUAUAUGCAAUUGUUGCCUGCUUCUUCACAAGGUUUAAGUAACCCGAAUUUAUCUAUUUCUGGUCAUUUUGAUACAUUGAGUUACCUAUUCCUAUUUAUCACCCUGACCAUGUCAGUGAGUUGAAAAAGAUGGUAAGCCUGCUUUUCUUGAAGUGUUUAAAGAUGAAAAACAGAAAGGCAUUAGAUCUCAGUAAUUUCUCCAUUUUAGGAUAAUAAAUAAAUUAUUUUUGUUUCUACAAAGAUUUUGCAGGAGCAAGUUUAAGAUCAGCACAAUUGAAACAGUUUCCUUUACAGAUAUUUUGGUCAUCUUUAGGCAAUAUUUAAGCCAACAUCACAAUGUUACUGGUGAUGUGUUGGAACCUGCUUUUGGAUGUGUUGUUUGUUAAACACAAUGUGUACACUUGCUGAUCUGCUUGGCCCUUUUUAGAUUAAUUUGUUUUAAUGCUGCCAUAUGAUUAUUAUGUUGAGGUUACUACAUAUCGGAUACUAAUUUGGGUGGUUAUCAAAUGACUAAAGAAAAUUUGAUACUAAAAUAUUCUCUUACUAUUUGGUAGGUUAAGUGUUUGAUUUCUUUGGUUCCUAGGAGUUGAAUUGAUGAUUUUCAUGAACUUGAUUUGGGAAUUGCUUUGUGCAUGGAGUUUCACUUGAUUCCUGCAUAAAUGUUAAAUUAUUUUAAAUUUACUGUGAAAGAACUCGGUUCUAUCUUUUAGCCUUAUUGAGAUAAUGCUCAGUUUCAGGUCAAUCAUGUUGGUGUUUUUGAACGAUUGUUGUCCUCAUGUUGUGAGGUGAGUAUCUAGAAGCCCAUAUAGUUGUAAUUUUGUUACUACUAAACUAAAUAUUGUGGUUGAGUAUCGGCAUUAUGUUCUUUCAAUAAUUGUUCAGAGUUUCUUAUUUGUUGUAACCAUUGUUAUUCUUAAUGUUAUAUUGGUCAAGCAAGGUCGGGUUUUGAUCUUUUCCCUGUCUGUAUGAUUCUAUGUAUAGUUUUCGUUAUUAUAUAUGUAAUUCUCUCUGUUUUAUUUUUUCAAUUGCAAAAAAUGAGAUACCAACCAAAAGUUGCAGUUUAAUUGACGGGGACCUUAUAGUUAUUAUUAUAUGGAUUACAAUGAGUUCAGAAAGAAAAAAAGUAGGGAGGAGGAUUUGACAUAGGGGAGAAAGAAGAUGGGGUGUCUUAACACUGCUAACAUUUUGUUGAUGCAGCUUUUUGACUAUCUGUUGGCAUCACUUCAUGAUAUCUUGUAGAAUAUGAUUAGACUAAGUAUGUCUACAACAGCAACAUACCCAGUAAAAUUCCACAAGUGCGGUCUGAAAUGAUAGAGUGUACGGAAGCCUUACCCUUACCUGCUGGAGGUUGUUGAACUUUCUUCUCGAGUAAUAUGAUUUAUGGGUUUAAUAUAUCCUAUAUUAUGUAGGAUGUCUCACAAAUUUCAGUAUGUGAGGGUAAAACCUCAGAUGGUGCUUCCUAUUAGGAGAUCGACUGAGUGCUUUGGCGUUGAGUUAGAGAAAAUGCAAGUGAAGUAAGCAGUUCCCCUUAGCAUUGUUACCGCGAAAUCCAAUGUACAAGCCUCAGUCAUGAAAGAAGAUAAGUCGCCUGUUGCAGCUAAUAAAACUAGACCUGUAAGUUUGAAUAAGAACUAGGACAAAAUGAUUGGAUUACUAUCUCAUAUAGAAGGCAAGAUAAAAUAGUCUCAUUUCACCAUAGUAACAUACAUAAAUUUUGUAAUUAAGAGAAGUAUUAAUUACCCUCCUAAAAUUGUCACGUUUUAUUCAGUGUACACCUAAACUAUCAUUUGUCUUAAGUACCUCCCUUUUGGAGGUUUAGUGAAUUCUCUGGGACCUUCCAAAUGCAACUUGGCAUAGUGAUUUUUCUAAAAUGGUAAUUUUCUCCUCCUUUUUCUCACACGGAAGACAUGUCUUAGCUGCAAGUAACCCCAUUAAGCAAUAACAUUUACUGACUUUAAGAAUUUGUGUGUCUUGCCUGCAUGUAACUAGAAAAAGCUUUAAUAAUUCAUUUUAAAAUACUCAAGUGAAGUUCAUGAAUUCAAUCUUCUUUGUUUUUCGUUUUUUGGUCAUUUGUGUGUGGGGUAGAAUAUCUAUAGUAUAUUUUAUGACAAAAAAAUGGAUAAUCACCUUUUGAGAUCUUACGAUGUACAAUCAGUUUAGUUGAUAUUUUUUUCCUUGAGAAAGGUAGCUAAAGGCCAUUUAGUUAUUAUGUUAUUGUUCAUCAAAUAUACUUUUAGAUGUCUAUUAAUAUAGAGUACCAUCUUAUCAUGAUUCAAGGUGAAAGCCUAGCCAUUCCAAUACUGUCGGAAGAGCUAAACGUCAUUAAAUCUUCAUGGAUGUCCAGAAAAUUAUUUUUCUUGCAUACGUACUUUGAUUGCUUCUCUUUUGAGUGAGAGUCUAUUAGAAACAACCUCCCUACUCCACAAAGGUAUGAGCAAGGCCUGCGUACAUCCUACCCUCUAACACCCACUUAUGAGAUUACACUGGUUAUGUUGUUCUUGCUUUAGCUGUUUGAUUUGGGUAUUUAAAAUUAUAAUUUCUAUGUUAUUUUUGCUCUUUCUUUUCUCUGUCUUUGUAUUUCUUGUCUUAAUAUCAUCAAGGUCCUAUUUUGGACUCUUGAAUAGAUAUCCAAGGAUCUUAACAAAAACACAAAAAUAGAUAUCUAAUGAAGUAUCAGAACCUUUCAUUUUCGAGAAUGUUUUGCGACAGUAUUUAGAUUUUCUUAUGGGUUGUCUUUAUUGUUUUUAGCUGUUGCUCAUAAUAUGAGAAAUUAUCCUUUUCUGAACCAGCCAUCCGAGGGUAAUAUGUACACGGAAAUUGAUGCAGUAUGUAAAUGUCUAAAUGAGCAGUACGGGGUCAAAGAUGGAACAACUAACACUGUAUGAUCAAUCUUUUGGCAGUGGUCCAGCCGUUGAUCAUGCAUCACGCACACUCGAUUUAAGAAUUGAUGUUUUACAUUGUUCAAUAUCUCGUCUUAUAUAAGAAAGUUGUACUAUGUCACACAUACUUGUUUGACAUUUGUAAGUUAAAUUUAACUGGUUAUACUAUUUUUAUUUUUUGUUCCUA